rnacentral:rRNA from 1 species
GCGUAGGAAUCUACCUGGUAGUGGGGGACAACAUGUGGAAACGCAUGCUAAUACCGCAUACGCCCUACGGGGGAAAGCGGGGGAUCUUCGGACCUCGCGCUAUCAGAUGAGCCUGCGUUAGAUUAGCUAGUUGGUGGGGUAAUGGCCUACCAAGGCGACGAUCUAUAGCUGGUCUGAGAGGAUGAUCAGCCACACUGGGACUGAGACACGGCCCAGACUCCUACGGGAGGCAGCAGUGGGGAAUAUUGCGCAAUGGGGGAAACCCUGACGCAGCCAUGCCGCGUGUGUGAAGAAGGCCUU